UGGGGAAUAUUGCACAAUGGGCGCAAGCCUGAUGCAGCCAUGCCGCGUGUAUGAAGAAGGCCUUCGGGUUGUAAAGUACUUUCAGCGGGGAGGAAGGGAGUAAAGUUAAUACCUUUGCUCAUUGACGUUACCCGCAGAAGAAGCACCGGCUAACUCCGUGCCAGCAGCCGCGGUAAUACGGAGGGUGCAAGCGUUAAUCGGAAUUACUGGGCGUAAAGCGCACGCAGGCGGUAUGUUAAGUCAGAUGUGAAAUCCCCGGGCUCAACCUGGGAACUGCAUCUGAUACUGGCCAGCUUGAGUCUCGUAGAGGGGGGUAGAAUUCCAGGUGUAGCGGUGAAAUGCGUAGAGAUCUGGAGGGAUACCGGUGGCGAAGGCGGCCCCCUGGACGAAGACUGACGCUCAGGUGCGAAAGCGUGGGGAGCAAACAGG
rnacentral:rRNA from 1 species